UGGGGAAUAUUGGACAAUGGGGGGAACCCUGAUCCAGCCAUGCCGCGUGUGUGAAGAAGGCCUUAUGGUUGUAAAGCACUUUAAGCGAGGAGGAGGGUACUGGUAUUAAUACUACCAGGUACUGGACGUUACUCGCAGAAUAAGCACCGGCUAACUCUGUGCCAGCAGCCGCGGUAAUACAGAGGGUGCGAGCGUUAAUCGGAUUUACUGGGCGUAAAGCGUGCGUAGGCGGCUAAUUGAGUCGGAUGUGAAAUCCCCGAGCUUAACUUGGUAAUUGCAUUCGAUACUGGUUAGCUAGAGUGUGGGAGACGAUGGUAGAAUUCCAGGUGUAGCGGUGAAAUGCGUAGAGAUCUGGAGGAAUACCGAUGGCGAAGGCAGCCAUCUGGCCUAACACUGACGCUGAGGUACGAAAGCAUGGGGAGCAAACAGG
rnacentral:rRNA from 1 species